rnacentral:lncRNA from 1 species
CAAAAAGCCAGACUACUACUUGUGUCAUUUUCCUAGCUUCUCUUCUGCCAGAUCAAUAACUCUGCUCUUGGGAAAAGUAGAAUGGCUUUGUGCUCAGGUUUGGGCAAAGGUGUAAACAAAUUCAUUUUCUGACUUUCAGAUAAGGCUGGGCGACAUCUCCACUACAUCCUGCAGAGGAGAGAAGCCAUGUCAGGUGCAGAAGGAGAUCCUUAAAUUGUGGCUGGUAAUUGCAUACUCUUGGACGCAGCUUCAUGAAGACUAAA